rnacentral:rRNA from 1 species
UACGAGAGGCGCAAACGUUAUUCGGAAUUACUGGGCUUAAAGAGUUCGUAGGCGGCGCAGAAAGUAGGGUAGUGGAAAGCCCUCGGCUCAACCGAGGAAUUGCGCUCUAAACUACUGUGCGUUGAGGAAGCUAGAGGUGAGCAGAACAGAUGGUGGAGCGGUGAAAUGCGUUGAUAGUCAAUCGUGGAAUACCGGAGGGCGAAGGCGGCUCACUGGGGCUUUUCUGACGCUGAGGAACGGAAAGCCAAGGGUAGCCGAACGGG